GGCUCGGUGGUGUAGUUGGUUAUCACGUCAGUCUAACAUAAGUUAGGCCACUGAAGGUCCCGAGUUCAAACCUCGGCUGAGUCA
rnacentral:tRNA from 1 species